rnacentral:tRNA from 20 species
GGAGAGGUGCUCGAGUGGUUGAAGAGGCACGCCUGGAAAGCGUGUAUACCCCAAAAGGGUAUCCGGGGUUCGAAUCCCCGUCUCUCCGCAA